rnacentral:sRNA from 2 species
UUUUAAGUUUUAUAGGGUUCCGCAGUUUUGAAAAGAACUGGUCUGGACCGAGAUAAAACGCACAGUUUAUCUGUGUACACGGAAGGAUAAAAGCCUGGGAGAU